AGUGAACGCUGGCGGUAGGCCUAACACAUGCAAGUCGAACGGCAGCACAGUAAGAGCUUGCUCUUACGGGUGGCGAGUGGCGGACGGGUGAGGAAUACAUCGGAAUCUACUUUUUCGUGGGGGAUAACGGAGGGAAACUUACGCUAAUACCGCAUACGACCUACGGGUGAAAGCAGGGGAUCUUCGGACUUUGCGCGAUUGAAUGAGCCGAUGUCGGAUUAGCUAGUUGGCGGGGUAAAGGCCCACCAAGGCGACGAUCCGUAGCUGGUCUGAGAGGAUGAUCAGCCACACUGGAACUGAGACACGGUCCAGACUCCUACGGGAGGCAGCAGUGGGGAAUAUUGGACAAUGGGCGCAAGCCUGAUCCAGCCAUACCGCGUGGGUGAAGAAGGCCUUCGGGUUGUAAAGCCCUUUUGUUGGGAAAGAAAAGCAGCAGGUUAAUACCCCACUGUUCUGACGGUACCCAAAGAAUAAGCACCGGCUAACUUCGUG
rnacentral:rRNA from 1 species